rnacentral:rRNA from 1 species
UACAGAGGUCUCAAGCGUUGUUCGGAUUCAUUGGGCGUAAAGGGUGCGUAGGCGGCGCGGUAAGUCGGGUGUGAAAUCUCGGGGCUUAACUCCGAAACUGCAUUCGAUACUGCCGUGCUUGAGGACUGGAGAGGAGACUGGAAUUUACGGUGUAGCGGUGAAAUGCGUAGAUAUCGUAAGGAAGACCAGUGGCGGAGGCGGGUCUCUGGACAGUUCCUGACGCUGAGGCACGAAGGUCAGGGGAGCGAACAGG